CCUACGGGAGGCUGCAGUGGGGAAUAUUGGACAAUGGGGGGAACCCUGAUCCAGCCAUGCCGCGUGUGUGAAGAAGGCCCUCGGGUUGUAAAGCACUUUCAGUGAGGAAGAACGCCUGGUGGUUAAUACCCAUCAGGAAAGACAUCACUCACAGAAGAAGCACCGGCUAACUCCGUGCCAGCAGCCGCGGUAAUACGGAGGGUGCGAGCGUUAAUCGGAAUUACUGGGCGUAAAGCGCGCGUAGGUGGCUUGAUAAGCCGGUUGUGAAAGCCCCGGGCUCAACCUGGGAACGGCAUCCGGAACUGUCAAGCUAGAGUGCAGGAGAGGAAGGUAGAAUUCCUGGUGUAGCGGUGAAAUGCGUAGAGAUCGGGAGGAAUACCAGUGGCGAAGGCGGCCUUCUGGACUGACACUGACACUGAGGUGCGAAAGCGUGGGUAGCAAACAGGAUUAGAUACCCGAGUAGUC
rnacentral:rRNA from 1 species